rnacentral:rRNA from 1 species
UACGUAGGGUGCGAGCGUUGUCCGGAAUUAUUGGGCGUAAAGGGCUCGUAGGCGGUUUGUCACGUCGGGAGUGAAAACUCGGGGCUUAACCCCGAGCCUGCUUCCGAUACGGGCAGACUAGAGGUAUGCAGGGGAGAACGGAAUUCCUGGUGUAGCGGUGAAAUGCGCAGAUAUCAGGAGGAACACCAGCAGCGAAGGCGGCGCUCUGGGCUGGAACUGACGCUGAGGAGCGAAAGCGUGGGUAGCAAACAGG